AGAGGAACAAAGAAACAAUCAGAGGAGGUCAAGCAGAGUGAAGAAAGCCCCUGAAUACUUGAAAGAUUACAUACAUCAAGUUAAUUAAUCAUCAUCCAUAUCUUUGUGUGUUAAAAAUGGUUUGAGAACUCCUUACCUUAUCGCUAACACUUUAUCUUAUGAGUCUCUAUCUGAUAAACACUUAAGAUACACACUUGCCAUAACUGUUGGGAAAGAACCCAACUUCUAUAAUGGCCAGAAAUAGUGCUGAAUGGGCUGAUGCUAUGCAAAUAAAGAUCAAG
rnacentral:lncRNA from 1 species